rnacentral:rRNA from 1 species
GACGAACGCUGGCGGCGUGCUUAACACAUGCAAGUCGAACGGUGAAGCGCUUUUCUUUUUGGUUGGUGUGGUUGAGUGGCGAACGGGUGAGUAAAACGUGAGUAACCUGCCCCCUUCUUCUGGAUAACCGCAUGAAAGUGUGGCUAAUACGGGAUAUUCUGCGCCUGCUGCAUGGUGGGUGUGGGAAAGAUUGUGCCUUUGGGUGUUUUCGGUGGGGGAUGGGCUCGCGGCCUAUCAGCUUGUUGGUGGGGUGAUGGCCUACCAAGGCGGUGACGGGUAGCCGGCCUGAGAGGGUGGACGGUCACACUGGGACUGAGACACGGCCCAGACUCCUACGGGAGGCAGCAGUGGGGAAUAUUGCACAAUGGGCGCAAGCCUGAUGCAGCGACGCCGCGUGAGGGAUGGAGGCCUUCGGGUUGUGAACCUCUUUCGCCAGUGAAGCAGGCCUGCUCCUUGUGGGUGGGUUGACGGUAGCUGGAUAAGAAGCGCCGGCUAACUACGUG